GAUAGCUCCGUUGGCUACAGCAUGGUGCUGAUAACGCCAAGGUUGCAGGUUCAAUAUGGGACAACUUACAUAUUCCUGCAUUGCA